GUGUGUGUUAGUGGAAGCGUCUGGAAAGGCGCGCGAUACAGGGUGACAGCCCCGUACACAAAAAUGCACAUACUGUGAGCUCGAUGAGUAGGGCGGGACACGUGGUAUCCUGUCUGAAUAUGGGGGGACCAUCCUCCAAGGCUAAAUACUCCUGACUGACCGAUAGUGAACCAGUACCGUGAGGGAAAGGCGAAAAGAACCCCGGCGAGGGGAGUGAAAAAGAACCUGAAACCGUGUACGUACAAGCAGUGGGAGCCUCUUUUAUGGGGUGACUGCGUACCUUUUGUAUAAUGGGUCAGCGACUUAUAUUCUGUAGCAAGGUUAACCGAAUAGGGGAGCCGAAGGGAAACCGAGUCUUAACUGGGCGUUAAGUUGCAGGGUAUAGACCCGAAACCCGGUGAUCUAGCCAUGGGCAGGUUGAAGGUUGGGUAACACUAACUGGAGGACCGAACCGACUAAUGUUGAAAAAUUAGCGGAUGACUUGUGGCUGGGGGUGAAAGGCCAAUCAAACCGGGAGAUAGCUGGUUCUCCCCGAAAGCUAUUUAGGUAGCGCCUCGUGAAUUCAUCUCCGGGGGUAGAGCACUGUUUCGGCAAGGGGGUCAUCCCGACUUACCAACCCGAUGCAAACUGCGAAUACCGGAGAAUGUUAUCACGGGAGACACACGGCGGGUGCUAACGUCCGUCGUGAAGAGGGAAACAACCCAGACCGCCAGCUAAGGUCCCAAAGUCAUGGUUAAGUGGGAAACGAUGUGGGAAGGCCCAGACAGCCAGGAUGUUGGCUUAGAAGCAGCCAUCAUUUAAAGAAAGCGUAAUAGCUCACUGGUCGAGUCGGCCUGCGCGGAAGAUGUAACGGGGCUAAACCAUG
rnacentral:rRNA from 1 species